rnacentral:rRNA from 1 species
GUCUUUUUGAGGUAUAAUUUAAAGUCUAAUCUGCCCACUGAUUUAUAUUAAAGGGCUGCAGUAUUAUGACUGUACAAAGGUAGCAUAAUCAUUAGUUUUUUAAUUGGAAACUUGUAUGAAAGAUUUAAUGAAAUAUUAACUGUCUCUUAUUUUUUAUUAGAAUUUUAUUUUUUAGUAAAAAAGCUAAAAUAAUUUUAAAAGACGAGAAGACCCUAUAGAGUUUUAUAUUUAAUUUUAUUUUAAAUUUAUAUAAAAAUUAAUAUUAAAAUAAAAUUAAAUAUUAUAUUGGGGUGAUAGAAAAAUAAGAAUAACUUUUUUUAACAGUAAACAUAAAUAAAUGAUUAAAUGAUCCAUUGUUGAUGAUUAUAAGAAAAAAUUACCUUAGGGAUAACAGCGUAAUAUUUUUUUUUAGUUCAAAUAAAAAAAAAAGUUUGCGACCUCGAUGUUGGAUUAAGAUAAAAUUUAGAUGCAAAAGUUUAAAAUUUUGAUCUGUUCGAUCAUUAAAAUCUU